rnacentral:rRNA from 1 species
UACGGAGGGUGCUAGCGUUGUUCGGAAUUACUGGGCGUAAAGCGCGCGUAGGCGGCUUUGUAAGUUAGAGGUGAAAGCCCGGAGCUCAACUCCGGAACUGCCUUUAAAACUGCAUCGCUUGAAUCUAGGAGAGGUGAGUGGAAUUCCGAGUGUAGAGGUGAAAUGCGCAGAUAUCGGGAGGAACACCGGUGGCGAAGGCGGCUCACUGGACCGGUAUUGACGCUGAGGUGCGAAAGCGUGGGGAGCAAACAGG